UCUAAAAAAAAAUUUGAAUGGUGCUAUGACAUACAUUCUCACUGAAACUGUUAAGGAAAACCCUCAAAUAACAUAUGGGGGUUUGCUUGACACCAUGGCCAAUCACAUUGAAAAUAUUAACAGCGAAAGAUGGAUCAAGUCAAGGAUCAUAAGGAAAGUACUUCGACACAAAACCUUACAGGAACCGAUGCUGUCAUCUUCUACAAAGUUUGAGGUUAACGACGCGAAAUUUAUCUUGUAAUGAAGAUCUAUCAUUGCAACCACUGUUAACUAAUUUGCAAACGCAUCAAUUGUUUCUUAAUAUGUUUUUCUAUAUAAAUUACAUAGCUAGUUUGACUAAGGUGGAAAUAAUCUCAUGUACAGUUAGUUACAAAUUGAUAACGGCUGCACAAUCGUGUAAUUACGAGGGAACCAAAUUGAUCCAAGACAAUUUGCUUU